rnacentral:rRNA from 1 species
UGGGAAUUUUGGACAAUGGGCGAAGCCUGAUCCAGCAAUGCCGCGUGUGUGAAGAAGGCCUUCGGGUUGUAAAGCACUUUUGUCCGGAAAGAAAUCCUUGGCUCUAAUACAGUCGGGGGAUGACGGUACCGGAAGAAUAAGCACCGGCUAACUACGUGCCAGCAGCCGCGGUAAUACGUAGGGUGCAAGCGUUAAUCGGAAUUACUGGGCGUAAAGCGUGCGCAGGCGGUUUGCUAAGACCGAUGUGAAAUCCCCGGGCUCAACCUGGGAACUGCAUUGGUGACUGGCAGGCUAGAGUAUGGCAGAGGGGGGUAGAAUUCCACGUGUAGCAGUGAAAUGCGUAGAGAUGUGGAGGAAUACCGAUGGCGAAGGCAGCCCCCUGGGCCAAUACUGACGCUCAUGCACGAAAGCGUGGGGAGCAAACAGGAUUNGAUACCCUGGUAGUCACGCCCUAAACGAUGUCAACUAGUUGUUGGGGAUUCAUUUCCUAGUAACGUAGCUAACGCGUGAAGUUGACCGCCUGGGGAGUACGUCGCAAGAUUAAAACUCAAAGGAAUUG